rnacentral:misc_RNA from 1 species
UCCCGUUUGCUACGGGCAGUCUCGCUAGAGAAAUACAACUAGCGACAAGGGUUGCGCUCGUUGCGGGACUUAACCCAACACCUCACGGCACGAGCUGACGACAGCCGUGCAUCACCUCGCACAGUGCCCCGAAGGGAGACCGGCUUUCACCGGCUGUCACUGCACGUUCAAGCCCAGGUAAGGUUCUUCGCGUUGCAUCGAAUUAAACCACACGCUCCGCUGCUUGUGCAGGCCCCCGUCAAUUUCUUUGAGUUUUAAUCUUGCGACCGUACUCCCCAGGCGGAUAACUUAAUGCGUUAGCUGCGCCACCAAAACCCUAAGGGCCCUGACAGCUAGUUAUCAUCGUUUACGGCGUGGACUAC